CGUAGGGGCAAGCGUUGUCCGGAUUUAUUGGGGCGUAAAGCGCGCGCAGGCGGCGCUUUAAGUUGGGGGUUAAAGGCAGUGGCUCAACCAUUGUACGCCUCCAAAACUGGAGCGCUUGAGUGCAGGAGAGGAAAGCGGAAUUCCCGGUGUAGCGGUGGAAUGCGUAGAGAUCGGGAGGAACACCAGUGGCGAAGGCGGCUUUCUGGCCUGUAACUGACGCUGAGGCGCGAAAGCGUGGAGAGCAAACAGGAUU
rnacentral:rRNA from 1 species